GGUGGCUCAGUGGUAGAGCGCUUGCCUUGCAUCCAUGAGACCCUGGGUUCGAUUCCCCAGCACCA
rnacentral:tRNA from 1 species